UCUUAAAGAUAUUUACGUUAAAUACUUAAUUGGCUUUCAUAAGAAUAACCCUUCAGUUAAAAACACGAUUUCUUGCCCUUAAGCAAAAUAAACUUGUAAAAUCCUGUUUUUAAUCACUCGACCACUUAUAGCAAACUAUUUAAUUGGCUACAGACAUCCUUCUAAAUCGUUUUACAAGAAUUGCCGAGACUUAAUUACGGCAUUCUUACUUUAUUUAUUAUAAACGAUAUCCACGUAAAAGCUAAACCCUAAAGGCAUAACAGGCGUCUCGACUAUUGUAUAUAAACUGACAAUAAUUCUUUAAAUGGAAUGGACUGGACUGAACGUGUUAUAAUAUUCUUCUUGUGUCGUCUAAAUACAACAAAUAUAAGGUUGGUUGCUUUGUUACUAUUCGUGUCUGCUGGGUUCAGCUCUGCCCUAACAGAAACAGAGAGAAUCGUGUGCUGGGUUAAAUAUAUUAACCGGUUCCUAUAAAAUUGGUGAGACCCCGACUGAGAAUUGUGCCUAUCUGAGAGGAGUCAGAUUCGCUGCUGUUGUGCCAACGGAGAUCAACAACAUCUACGGAGGAACAAAAGUUAAUGCGGACGCUAAAGAACGAACAAAGAACGAGAUGACAAUGCAUUAAAGAUAAACAACAGUUGAACAAUGGUAGACGGCUAUGGAACGACAAAACGAUGAAUCUUGACGAUGGCUAACGGACAAACGAAACGAACUUUUAAAAAAUUAUGAGGUGAAAAAUCAACGAAAAAUAAUCAAAAUGAUGAAAUAAUGAAUCAACUACAGACGAAGGGACUUUUCAAAGAAAUACGGUACAUAAAACGCGCCCAAACAAAUUAUUUAACGCGACAAAUGACGAAAAGAAUGACAAACGUAACAAUAUGUUAUUUUCAUGCUCAUAAUUUUGUUUUAUUUUAUCAGUGCAGAUUUUUCAUCUUGUUGGGACACGCUUCAUACUUCUCCUAUUCUUAAGGUAAAAUUCUUCUAUUUCUCUCUGGCGUUUUAAAAUUCGGCUUCCAAUUUUUAUGAAUUCAUUGAAGGUAGGGUAAUUCGGAUGUUUAUUUAAGUGGCAUAAAAUCGUUAGGCCAAAUGAUUGUCCAACAUAAGUAAAUGUUUAGUUACGAAUGGUUUUCAUAAAAUUCAUAAAGAAUGUAAAUUUGACGGUCAUAAACAACCCCAUUUUCGAUAGAAUAUGUUUCUAAAUCACUGGCAACCUUUUAAAAAGAUGAUUUAAAUAUAAUCAUACUUUAAUCUCGCCAAUAUAUUCGUCUAAUACGAAUAUAUUGAUCAAAUACAUAAACUAAGCGCAUUUUUUUCUCAACGCACACAGAAGGCUAUUUUUUUUCAAAGCGCUUCAAACCCAACAAGGGAUAUCAAGGCUAGCUAAGCCAUUACUUGCGAGUUGUAAGGUUAAGGUGUGAUGAAAUAUGUUAAAUUGAAAUCACUGUUUUGACUGUCAACAUCAAAUUUAAAACUAUAAUACGCCAAUCUUUUCUAAAAGCUUCUUUCCACUUUU